rnacentral:rRNA from 1 species
GAUGAACGCUGGCGGCGUGCCUAAUACAUGCAAGUCGAGCGAACAGACGAGGAGCUUGCUCCUCUGACGUUAGCGGCGGACGGGUUAGUAACACGUGGAUAACCUACCUAUAAGACUGGGAUAACUUCGGGAAUCCGGAGCUAAUACCGGAUAAUAUAUUGAACCGCAUGGUUCAAUAGUGAAAGACGGUUUUGCUGUCACUUAUAGAUGGAUCCGCGCCGCAUUAGCUAGUUGUUAAGGUAACGGCUUACCAAGGCAACGAUGCGUAGCCGACCUGAGAGGGGGAUAGGCCACACUGGAACUGGGACGCGGUCCAGACUCCUACGGGAGGCAGCAGAAGGGAAUGGUCCGCAGUGGGCGAAAGCCUGACGGAGCAAAGCCGCGUGAGUGGUGAAGGUCUUCGGAUCGUAAAACUCUGUUAUUAGGGAAGAACAAAUGUGUAAGUAACUAUGCACGUCUUGACGGUACCUGAUCAGAAAGCCACGGCUAACUACGUG